rnacentral:rRNA from 1 species
GACGGAGGAUGCAAGUGUUAUCCGGAAUCACUGGGCGUAAAGCGUCUGUAGGUGGUUUAAUAAGUCAACUGUUAAAUCUUGAGGCUCAACUUCAAAAUCGCAGUCGAAACUAUUAGACUAGAGUAUAGUAGGGGUAAAGGGAAUUUCCAGUGGAGCGGUGAAAAUUCGUAGAUAUUCGGAAGAACACCAGUGGCGAAGGCGGCUAACUGGCC